rnacentral:rRNA from 1 species
CUGCGAGUGAAGCGGGAAGAGCUCAAAUUUGUAAUCUGGCGGCCUUUGGUCGUCCGAGUUGUAGUCUCGAGAAGCGUUUUCCGCGUCGGACCGUGUACAAGUCCCUUGGAACAGGGCGUCGUAGAGGGUGAGAAUCCCGUCUUUGACACGGACUGCCGGCGCUUUGUGAUGCGCUCUCAAAGAGUCGAGUUGUUUGGGAAUGCAGCUCAAAAUGGGUGGUAAAUUCCAUCUAAAGCUAAAUAUUGGCAAAAGACCGAUAGCGAACAAGUACCGUGAGGGAAAGAUGAAAAGCACUUUGGAAAGAGAGUUAAACAGCACGUGAAAUUGCUGAAAGGGAAACGCUUGAAGUCAGUCGCGUCUCUCGGGACUCAGCCGUGCCCCACCGGGCUUGGUGUAUUUCCUGGGUGUGACGGGCCAGCAUCGAUUUUGGCCGUCGGAGAAAGGCCUUGGGAAUGUGGCACCUUCGGGUGUGUUAUAGCCCUGGGUCGCAUGCGACGGUCGGGAUCGAGGACCGCAGCACGUUCCCCCCCUGUGGGCUCGGGGUU